rnacentral:rRNA from 2 species
GACGAACUGUGCGAACGUUAUUCGGAAUCACUGGGCUUACAGGGUGCGUAGGCGGCCACGUAAGUAGGGUGUGAAAUCCCCCGGCCCAACCGGGGAACUGCGCUCUAAACUACAUGGCUUGAGUGAGCUAGGGGUCCACGGAACUUCCAGUGGAGCGGUGAAAUGUGUUGAUAUUGGAAGGAACACCGGAGCCGAAAGGGGUGGACUGGGGCUCAACUGACGCUGAGGCACGAAAGCCAGGGUAGCGAACGGG